rnacentral:lncRNA from 10 species
GCGGCGUCGCGGAGCUCGGGCCGGUGGAAGGUUUACCUGCUAGGCUCGUCCCACCUGUGUGGAGCUCCCAUCGCCCUCCAGCGUUGCGCAGCCUGAAGGGACAGGACGGACAAGCGGGUGCCUCCUUCUAAUUCAUCUUCACCAUUGUGGUUGUCAAUAUGGCAUGCAGAAUUAUCCCUCUUUCCAGCUUCUGGAGUCUACCUGGAUUCCUGGGCUCAUGGCCCCUUCCUCCAUCUUCAAACCAGCAAUGAUUGGAACGACCUGGAGCAGCCAGCAGAGUGACAAAUGAGGAAGAGGACAGAAUCUAGCUGAAGAAGCUCUGGAAGAUACCAUUUGAAGUCUUGAGUGCUUGAACUCACAAAGAAA